rnacentral:rRNA from 1 species
GACUAAACUGUCUCUUAUGGGCAUUCAAUGAAACUGAUCUCUCAGUCCAAAAGCUAAGAUACUUACACCAGACGAGAAGACCCUGUGGAGCUUCCAAACCAAUACCAAUACUCAUGGUUAUACGGUUUUUAGUUGGGGCGACUUCGGAGAACAAAAAAACCUCCAACUAGGAAAUCUUCCUAAUUAAGAUUUACACAUCUAAAUAUUUACUUGACCCAGUAGGCAUUUCCCCAUCUGAUCAAGGAACCAAGUUACCCCAGGGAUAACAGCGCCAUCCUCUUUCAGAGUCCCCAUCGACAAGAGGGUUUACGACCUCGAUGU